CCCAAAGAAUUUGGCGGUGCUUUAUUCCAUUCAGAGGAACUUGUCCCGUGAUCGAUAAUCCUCGUUUUAUCUUACUUGAUUUAAUUAGUAUGUAUACCGCCGUUAUAGGUUUAUUUUUUUAGAUUUAUUUACUAUUAAUUUUAUUAAAUUUUAUUUCAGGUCAAGGUGCAGCUUAUGAUUAAGUGGUGAUGAGUUACAAUAUUAUUUCAAUAAAUGGAUUCUUUUUUUGAAAUUUUUGAUGAAGGUGGAUUUGAUAGUAAUUUUUAUUAUAAAGUUGUUUUGAUUUUGGCUCUAGAGCAAGUACACAUCGCCC
rnacentral:rRNA from 1 species